AAUAUUCUUUGUUCUUGGUGCCACCAUCUCACUGAAGCUUCAAGUUUCUCAGCCUGCAAGUUAAGACAUGAAGAAACCAAGUUCAUCAUAACCAAAUAAAAAGGUACUUUCGUUGUUGUAACUUGAUAAAUCUGUGCUUAUGAUUAACCACUGCUAUACCAACUUGUGCUCUGUGAUGAAAAAAUCAUUCUUCCUAGAAUUUUAUGGAUGUUUUGCAUAGUUCAUGAACAUCAGUGUUCAUUUAGAAAAACUCAUGCAGAGCUUUGUGAAAGUAGCUCAUGAAUUAUCACCUUCCAAUGAUUAUAUCAGUAUGCUUAGGGGUCAAACAUGUGAAUAAGUUUGUUGAAGAUUUCAUAUAGAAAUAAGGUAAAUUUACAUGGUGCAACCAGUUCUGUAAGUUGAACUAGUUUUAAAGUUUGAAGUUCACUUCUUAAGAAAUUUAACUCAGACUUAGUUAAUGUGUUUAUGAUUAAGGUGUUUACUGAAAAGCAUUGCAACAUAAACUGAAAAAAGAAGUUUUGUAGGAGUUACUGAGCAUAAACUGAUAGAAGACAUAGAAUGCAGCACUACCUUUUCUCCUCUUGAGACCCUCCACUUUGCUUGUAAUUUGGGAAGGGAACUUGUCCUGAUUCAAUGUGCCUAACAUCCCUGAGGAGGAGUUCAUAGUGCCUCUUGACUUCUUCUGGGGUCUUCCCUCCACCAACAGCCUUAGCAACAUUGUACCAGCGGUCAGGAGUGUCUUUGUCAUAAACAGCUAGAGCCCUUUCAAAGGCUUUGUUGUCCUUGGCACUCCAUGAGCCAGUGGAAGACAUUGAGCUUGAUGCCAUUUGCAGAAGGCAGUGAUUAGCAAAGAGUUUAGGUAUGAGGUUUGCUCUAGGAAAUGGUAUAGCUCAAAGGGUGUUAAGAAAAAGUAGAAAAGAUUGAGUCAAUAGAACAAGACACCAAGGAAUUGGAAGAUGAACUGAUGAUACUGAAGAGAGGAAACAACGUGUGCUCCUUUUAUAACCAGAGGUGGAGAGUUUAAAGUGGGGUAGAGCCAGUUGGAAUGCAAAUCUUGCCAAAAUGAAGUAGAAUUUGAAUGAUUUGUCUCCUCAGGAACCACAGAAUAGAGCAGGACCAAGAAAUUGAGCAGCAUCAUGGGAGAAUCAGUAUCUUCAAACAGUAAAAAUGAGUGAGUGAAUUCAAAGAGGUUAACAAAAUUACUUGUUAUAAUCUCUCUUUGGCUGCUUUAUUCUUCACACACAAAAACACAAAUCACAUCAAGUUAAAAUUGUACUUUGUUAUUCUGUCUCGAGGUGGUGAAACUCCACACCUUGAUAGUAGAAACAGUUGAGUUGAGUUGAGACACUUCCUCAAGUUGAUGAUCUGAAUGUGUUUAGCACCUUAGAGAUAUCACUUGGUUGAGCAAAUGGACACGACCAACCAACUUCUUAGUAUGAAACAGUGAAUUUUCAGUUGUGGUUCUGAUACUAAAAACGUAUGUAAGAGACCCCUCAACUGGGUCAGCUAAUGGCUAGCUUUAUUUUAUUCUCUUUCUUGCAUGGUCUUAAGUGGGUCCAAUCUUCAGCAGGUAUCAGAGCUUUCACCAAUGCAUCACACACCACAAUAUCUUGUUCAGAAUAGUACAAUUGCAAAGAAAAAUCCCCCCCUUUGGUUUUCCAUCACCUCAGGUGAUCUUAAUUGUGAAUGUAGUUUGUCCUUAACAACAUUCCAACACUCUAGCUGGCCAGUUUCAGCCGUACAAUGAUUAUUGUUUGUUCAAAAUCAGAAGGAUAGGUUAUAUAGAUUACCUACUACACUUUUUUCUGCUGUGGAGCCCCCCUCACUACUAGGUUUCAGAUCAAGUUCUUUUGGAUAACCCUUUUCACAAACACUUGCUAAAGAAAAGAUUUAUUAGAUAAAAUGAAUCGAACUUCUUCUAUAGGUCAAAAUUAACUCAUACAUUUCAACUUUUGAAACUGAUAGAUGAAAACAGUUCUGUAAAAAUGAAUGCAUGAGUUCAUUUUAACUGACAACAAAGGUAAAUUUGUUUUGUAUUUGUGUUUUCUUCUCUUAUUUUUGUGUUUGAUGAUUGUUACUUAGAGGGACCGGGAGUGUCUUGUAUACUGAGGCCAAUGUGUCCUUUCAUCUAACAGUAACAACAUUAGUUUCUGUUUAGCUUAAGCAAUAUGUCUUAUCAGUAUCUGAGAGGCAUAACCUUGAAGAGUAGCCAUUAUCAGUGUGGGAAACACAUUGGAAUAUCAAUUUAGACUAUGUUUUUAGCACUGUAGUGUGUAACCUUAACAUCAUGACAUGGGAAAGAGAGUAAAUAAUUCAUAGUGCUAAAGGACUUUUUCAUAGGGGAAUUGCUGAUGGCAAUUAUUAAUUAUUCUUUGUCCUGAUUAGUUUAAGAGAAUAGACCAAAUAACUACAAUGAAGAGUUUGAGCUUUUGGCAAAAAAGUAAACACGUGGGUUGGGGUUGAUCCAAGAUAGCUCCACAAAUUCCACAACAAUUAUAGUAAAAUUUUAGUCAUAUAUGUCUGUUCAUGAGCAAGUGAAAGAGACUUUCACUAACUCUUUUUUCCAAAAGCAGUAAUGAAUGAUUAGGCCAUAGCUUUUGUUCUUCAAAAGGCUUAUUUAUUGGCACACUGUGAUGCAGGAGGCAUUAAACUUUUUCAGGUCUUUUGGACCACUUUGUUAUUACAAAUGACCAUUCUUCUGGGUGUUAGUGAGUCAGAGAAAACAGCCAAAAGAGAGAUUUUAAAUCUUGGCAUUAGAGAUGCAGAGAGCAGAAUAUAGUGUUUUCCUCAUCUUGCAUGAUUUUUCAUAUCUUAGUUAAGUUUCAACCAAAUUUCAAGCAUUUAAUGCUUCAACUUGAUUGUUGUGUGUGUUUAUUUUUAGAGUAACAAACUAGAUCUUGCUAGUUCUUACAAAUAGCCUUAUGGCAAAUUACUUUUACUUCAUCUCAGCAACAGUAUAUAUUUCUGAUCUUCAAUUUCACACUUUCAAUUUUCAUUUUGACAGUUCAACUACUGAUGCUGUCAUGUACAAAAAAUAUUUUUGCUUUUUAUGUAUCUAAACCAAAAUUUGAUAGCAUUGUCCUUUAAAGUUGUGACCAGAAAUUCAAUUUCAGGUCCUUGUAUAUGGAAAGAUCCUUUGUUAAAAACAACUUGAAAGCUUGGUUAAUGAUCUGGUUGACCAGUACCUUAUACUAACCAAAAGUCUAAACUAUGAUCAUUAUCUGUUGUGUGCCAUUCAUACAAUGAGGCAGAGCUGCUAGCAUGAACAUGUUUCUUAUGGUCUUAAUCUCUUGUAUGUACCAAAUAUAAAUGUGUUGGGAUUGCAAGUGUGAUUUUAAGUCUCUUCAUUGAAUAGAAACGAGAAAGUUGAACAACGUAUAAGAAAAAAGAUCUAUAAACUUGUUAUUUUAAGGUUUUGGGUAAGAAAUGAAGUUAAAUUUCUCAUGUGCAUAGAGUUCAGAUUUCAUUAGUAUUGUCUUUUUGGAAAGACCCAUCAGUGAUAUGAGAGUCGAUGAUUAUUCUUCCAAUACCAAUAAAAAUGUAGUUAUUUUGCUAGGCAAUGGCUAAAUAUCUGAAUCUUUGAAUAGAGCUAAAGCAUGCCACAGCAUAUUUCUGUGUCGGUACAGUGAUGCUAGCAACUUGUUUCAGAUUUAGAUUGGCACCACCCCUUAUGGAACUAUUGUUUUUGUAAUAUCUAGCAAGUAGGUUUGAGUAUAGUAUAUUCUUCUAAACCAGUCCAAAGCAAUGGUUGAAGAUAUUUUGGAAUUCCCAAGUACUAAAUGUUAUUCCUUUUAUUUCAUAAUGUAAAAGUUAAUUUGGUAGUGAGAGUUAAAAUUUUCCAUUUUAAAUUGUGAAAGUACUCCAAACAUUGAAGUUGGUGGCAUGUUGGAUCAGUCUCAUUAUUUAUGUGAAGAGAAACAAAAAUCUUGUUGUUGCAUUAUAAUGGAAGACAGGAGGAAGUGUUGAAGAAGGCAGCAUGGAAGUUGGAAAGUGAAUGCAGAUAAUGUGUGUAGAGUUGUGUUGAAUGUUGCAUGAGUCAUGGUCAGUGGAUCCUGGCCACAGAAUUAUUCUGGAUUCAAGGAAUCUUUGUGAUGAAUAAUAGAUGGUGGAUGAUGUGCCUCAUCAUCACCAAAAUCUACACUGCAAUUGAGAACAAUAGUACAAAGUUAUAUAAACACAUUAUGUGGAAGAUUCUUUUCAGAGUGGUCCUUUCUUACCAAUUAUCAGAUAGUUUAGCUCAUCAUCAUUCACAUAACCAAAUAUCCUUUCUUUUUCCAACUUGAAGUGCAUUAUUAUGGAUACUGAGUUUACUUCAAUAGCUUUUACUGUCAAUUAUUCCCAUAUUUGUUUCGUUCUUCUUAA
rnacentral:lncRNA from 1 species